UAUAAAAACAUGGGGAAAUUAAUAGCAAGAUAUUUGAAAUCUUUGCAAAAUUAAAAAAAAAAAACUUUGCAUACAUUUUAAACACAGUCCACAUCCAUCAGACUUUUAAGUCCCAGACUGUGCCUCUCUCUCCAGUCACCUCACCCCACAGUCUCCUGCCCCUCUCCUCUUUCCCUCAGCAGACUUGAAGCUCCAGAAUGUUCUCUGUGAACUGGGUCCUCCUUCCACCAGGCUUCACAAGCAGCUCAGAUCCCCACCCCCCACCCCUUCCUCCUGCCCUGCCCUGGUUCACCACCGUCACAAUACACACUGCCUGUCCUUGUGUGCCUGCUCUCUGCCCUUCCCACCACAGGAACAGCUGGAGAACGGGGGCUCAUCUUAUACACAGCUAGCUGCUCCUACAGGCACACAUACUUCACAGGCAAAUGGAGCCACAGUCGCCGGGCUAGCAUUUUUUUGAGGGAAUGAAUGAAGGUAAUUGUGUGAAGUUUUAGGAACAGGACAAAGAAGGGCAUGGGACACCUUACUAUAGCAUAGAACUGGCCAAAUAUCAGUGUCCUAGUUAGGAUGAAACACCAUAACCCAAAGCAAAUUGGCAUGGAACCCUUCCACAUCACAAUCCAACAUCAAAUAAGUGAGGGCAGGACCCAAGCAGGGCAGGAACCUGGAGUCAGCCACUAACGCAGCUUGUGUGCUUGCUCAGGCUGAGUUCUUAUGGAACCCAUGACCACCAGCCCAGGAGUGGCCUCUCCUGCAUCAAUAACUAAGAAGUUACCCUGCAAGGCUUACUGACAACCUGAUCUUAUAGAGGCAUUUUCUCAACUGAGGCUCCCUCCCCUCUGGCUACUCCAGCUUGUGUCAAGUUGACAGGAAACUAGCCAGGCGCAGUCAGCUUCACACAGACCCACAGAGACUUUGAAUGUACGGUAUUAAGAAAUGGGUAGCUCUUGAUGCCCCGGUGUAGAGGAAUGGGAGGUGGGGAGGCAGGAGUGGGUUGGUGGGUGGAGGAAUACCUCCAUAGAAGCAGGGGGAGGGGCAGGAUUAGAGGUUCCCCAGGGGAGAGACUGGGAAAGGGGAUAACAUUUGAAUUGUAAAUAAAGAAAAUAUCCAAUAAAAAAGAAAAGAAAAGAAAUGAGCUGCUCCCUAAGCCUGGCCACUGGAACUUUGCAAUGGAGACCAACAAAUUCAAUCCCUACAGCAGCAAGCAUUAGAAUUGAUGACUGAUGUCUCACUCACAAAAUGAGGAGCCGGUCUGGGAGAGGUUGAGUCACUGCCUGGCAGCAGAGCCUGCGCCCCCACGUUCUGUCUGUCAGGCAUUCUGAGGUGCCAUGCUAGGCUAUAUUUAACUCGUGGCAUUUGCCAUCUUCUCAGCCAGCCAUUUUUGGUACCAUCUAGGGCUGUCGGAAAUGCUCUCCCUGAGGAGCUGACUGGGAGAAAAGUGUUGUUUCAGACCCGGUCAAAACUCCAGAACUACAAGGAAACUUUUAGAAAUGAGAGCAUUGUGUUUACAUUCGCAUGUCCCCUUUCACCUGAUGAGGUGACACUGGGAAGACACACCGGAGAAGAAAGCUAAAUACUUCUGAGGAACUGGCACUGAAUUCCAAAGCUGCCAGAGAUGGUACUGGAUUGGAAUUUACAACCUUUCAUUUUCCAGGCUCCUCUUAAUGUGAUUUCGCCUGCAAUGAUAGCUCUGGCUGACAAAUAACUGACGUGGUAUCUAGCGCAAAUGAAGAGCCGCAUGAUGCUGAGACUAUCAAUCUAUCCAGUUUUCGGCUUCCUUUCUCCACAUCCCUGAUGUGCCCAGAGCAGCUCAUGAAGCUCCUUCCUGCACUAUGUGGGCUGGCCACCAGGAGGAAGCCCCCAGCUUAGUCCCAGCUUGAUUUCUCUGUAUCCUACAAGUAUGUGUGAUGUCCUCAGCAAUAGAAUCUUACUCCCUAGUUCUGUUGAGCAACCAACAACAGUAAAAGUCGCGUGUAUUUGGAGAGCAAAAAGAGCCAACCUGACGAACAACUCAUAGACAUCCCAUGUUGUUACCCACUACCGUACAUGAACUGCUAGUUGACCAAAUUCAAACAUCACUUGGGAGGGAGUGGUCGGGGUAGGACCGUGGAAACAUCUCUAUUGAGUUUGUAUCAUCCUAGAAUGUUGCGAUCUGCUUUCCUAUUUGAUAAAAUAUCUAUAGUCAUAAAAAUAAUAGGCGCAUUAUUAAUUCAAACAUAACACAAACUCUAUCCCCCCAUAAUAUGAGGAUCAAUGUCCACUUCUUAAAAUUUGGCACCAGCGAGACUGAGGUCAUACAUAGGGUGCCCCCUAAAUUUAAAAUGAUACUUAUCUAAAAGGAUUUGUCUGGGGUCAAAGUCCACAGCCUAGUCAGUGUCUCAGGGGUCUCCAGGACCACUGUACCAAGCACAGUAUUUAGAGACUACAUCAAGUGUAUGACUCCAUGGGAUUUCACAUUCUGUAAUGGUGAAGGUAUCUGUUAACAAAGGAGCAAUAUUUCAAGGAAAAAUCUAGCAUACUAAAUAUGCACGGCUUUUAACUUGCAUCUUUUCAUAUGGCAGUGUGCCUCCUUUUUUUAGAUAUAUUUACUUCAUGUUUAUGAGUGAUUUGCCUGCAUGUAUAUCUGUGCACAGUGUUCGUGCCUGGUGCCUAUGGAAGUCAGAAAAGGGUGUUGAAUCCUCUGGAACUGGAGUUAUUGGUGGCAUCAUUGAAUGCUGAUAAUCAAAUCUGGGACCUCUGGAAGAACAAGUGUUCUUAGCCACUGAGCCAUCUCUCCAGCCCCACAUUGUCCCUCUUUCUUCUUAAGCUCCUGAGCAGAGGUGCCCCCUGGGUGUCAGAAAGCAGACACUUCAGAGUCACUACCUGCCUUAGUCAGUUUUGUGGGAUUCGGACAAUGCUCCCUGCCCUUCUCCAUACUCAUUUUCUUCAUCAUCUCUAGGACAGUGUUUCAGUGGGAGGAGUUGAUUCCCAAGGAAGCCCUGUCGUGCUGAGAGAAAAGCCAAGUUCUGAGCAGUGAGGACACUUUCUGCUUUCAUUCCUAUUUUGAAGGAGGUGAUGCGAGAAACAAGAAACAUCUUUGCUCAUGCUGAUGCAGCAAAUCUGGUAAAAGGUUUAUACCAGAAACUACAUCUGGCUUCGGACACUCCCACUCAUGUAUAGGGUCAGUCUUAAAUCUGAAAGCAUGGAGAUAUAUAACUCUUUUAUAUUUUUAUAAGAAAUCAAAGACUAACAAGCCUUCACCUAUAUUUCCUAUGUGGUUGGUCUCAGAAUUUCUGGGUCCUUUAAUUGAAACACAUGGCAUUGGAAAUUGGAUUGUUGUUGUUGUUGUUGUUGUUGUUGUUGUUGUUUACAAAACAGUCAGAGGAAAUCCAAAAGUAUGGAGUAUCAUGCCAACCUCCCAGGCCUUAGGAAACCAUUGACCAAUACCACAGCAAUGCGUGUGAAGUCUCUGCCUUUAUAUAGAAAUGUCGGGGAAACUACUUCCAUGAAUUCUCACCAGCAUGGCUGCCUAAACAAGAUCUGAACAAAGACCACAUCAAGAGACAUGUCACAUGAAAAAGGGAGAGAUCCUGUGGCAUGAAUCUUACAAGCAACUAGACAAUGGAAGGAGUAGGAGAAAUCGCCUUCCCUGGGGAAGAGGUCCCAACCCUGAAGUCGUUUACAUACAGUACAGGGGAAAGCAGCAUUGACACAAAAGGGGGCUGGGAGUGCCUAGGGGUUAGAAUGGCAGCUUGAAGAACCUGGAGUUAGAAGGAAGCCAUGCAGAACUGCAGAUGCCAAGCAGAUAAACAUGAUAUAGCCGUGAGCCUGCAAGGCCAAGGAAGCAAGAAAUCAACAGCAGUAUCAACACUGUUGUCAGCAGGUGCCCGGCUUUGCCAUAUCUCAUGCGGCUCCAACCUUAUCAUCUUAUGACAUGUCCUUAAACGUUCUCCCAGCGAACAGAAUCUGAUGCGCAGGAAGGUUCAUCUGUUAACCCAGCAGUAAGAAGAAAUGUGACACAGGUCUACCCAGCUUUCAAGCUUUGAUCCUGAGAGUCCUUCUGGAUCCCCAGCGGGUCCAGUGAGGGAAGGGAAGCAGCCUGCCAGGCCGUAGGCUAAAACCCUCGCAUCUAGAACAGGUUCACGUCCUGCUUACCCCUCCCUAGUCCAGCAACUGGUGACGUCUUUUAAGUGGUUUCUUAUGGAGUUGAAUGUUUUGCCAGCAUGUGUGUUGGUGAAGCACAUGCGUGCAAAGCCAGCAGAGACCAGAAAAGGGUAUCAUGUCCCCUAGAAUGGGAGUGACAGGCAGUUGUGCACAACUCUGUGGGUGCUAGGAAUUGAACCCAGGUCCUCUGAAAGUGCAGUCAGUAUUCUUAAUGGCUGAAUCAUCUCUCCGGCCUUUGAUGGCUUUUCUAAAAGCCAAUUUUCACACACACAAACUCCAGUUAAAGCCAUUUCUAUCAAAACUUCCCUUAGGAAUAACACGACUUACAACAUCUGCAACAGGAACUGACGAAUCCCAGGAAGAGGUGGGAGCUUGUGCCAGUGUGGGUGCCCACUCAGUUCUGACCCUGCAAAACCAGCGCUGCAGAAUUUCUUCUAUAGACACAUGCACAAAUGCUAUCCCUCUUGGACCUACAGGAGGCAACAGCCAUUGUUGCCCUGUCCUUUCUCUGCUGCCAUUUAUGAGCUGAGCUUUUAACCAGUCUGCCACAGCCAUGCCUCAGGUCUCCAGGCUACAGCCUACGAUGUGUUAUCUUCUACUAAUAAAUGCGUGGAAUUCAUCUCUGGUUUUUUGUCA